rnacentral:lncRNA from 1 species
UUGUAAUAAUCUUGUGAUGAUUGAUUGUAUUCGGAAGUUUAAAUGUAGUUGAAAGGAAAAGAAAUGUAAAUAAUAUCAAGUGAGAUGAAUGAAUAAAUGUAAUAACUUAGGAUGUGUUUAUGUUGUUUGAUACCUUCCUUAUGCAAUCGUUGUAUGUUGAAUAUCGUUCCUGGUUGGAACCUAUUGUAAUUGUAUUGUUUGCGACGCCUAGGACGUACAG